GAUGAAGAACGUAGUGAAAUGCGAUACGUAAUGUGAAUUGCAGAAUUCAGUGAAUCAUCGAGUCUUUGAACGCACAUUGCGCCCCCUGUAUUCCGGGGGGCAUGCCUGUCCGAGCGUCAUUGCUGCCCUCAAGCACGGCUUGUGUGUUGGGCCUCCGUCCUCCUCCCGGGGGACGGGCCCGAAAGGCAGCGGCGGCACCGCGUCCGGUCCUCGAGCGUAUGGGGCUUCGUCACCCGCUCUUGUAGGCCCGGCCGGCGCUUGCCGACACAUCAAUCUUUUUUCCAGGUUGACCUCGGAUCAGGUAGGGAUACCCGCUGAACUUAAGCAUAUCAAUAAGCGGAGGA
rnacentral:misc_RNA from 1 species